rnacentral:lncRNA from 1 species
UCUGCCUCCCUCUCAGCCUCCGAGUACUGGGAUUAAAGGUGUGCACCACCAUCCUUAGUCCUUAAUGUCUAUAUUUGAUGGAUAGAUUUUGAUAUCCUUUCUUUGGAAAACAUAAAUUAGUCAUUUUUAAGCUUGCAUGAACCUUGUUUCAUACACAGAAUAUCAAGAUACAAAUAAUAUUCACUAGGUAAAGCUUUGUUUAGAAAAAGAUAUCACUUUAUUUUAAAGUAUCAAUUUAUUUUCUUAAACAAAUUUGAAAUUAGAAAGGAGUCUCAAAAAAAAAAAAAAACAAAAAACAAAAGUAGGACUCUGUGCUGAUGAUUCUUGGUUGAUAGUGUGGUGCUGAAACUAUAUGGUGACAGUAUGGGGCUGUGGUCUGUGGUGGUGCAUGGUGACAGGAUGAUGCUGGUAAUGACAUAUAGUGCUGGUGAUAAAGAUAAUAUGUGGUCCUGGUGGUGCAGGGUCACAGCAUGAUAAUUGCAGUUAUCACUUACUGAUUGUUUUCUGUGCAUCAGGAAUUGAUCUGGAAACCUAAGAGAGGCUAGUAAAUAAGGCAGAUUGAAAGUCUUGACUUAACAGAGUUCUUUUUAGUACAGGCAGAUAAUAACUAGUAAGUCUAACACAUACCGACUACAAAGGAUAGAUAUUGUGGAAAAAUAGAGCAAGGUAGGAGGAGUCAGGAGUGCUGUGUUGGGGUGGAUGGACCUGGGCUGUUUUGUUAGGACAGUGCCACACAGAAGGUUGUAUUGAAGGUUACUGUUCAAAUAUCUGAGAGAACCAGGCAAGUGCAAUAGUGUCUUCAAAGCUCAGAACACAACUGAAGUAAGGAACAACCAAAGAUGAGUAUCACUGAAAGUGAUCAAGGGAAGAGUGGUAGGCAAGAGGGAGUGAGGAGGAGGUCUUGCUGCUACAGCACUGUGUGUCCAUGUUUGCCUGUUUCUAGUUACCACUGUAGUUGCCAUUUACAGAUGAGGGAAUUAAAGCAGGGUCCAAUAACUCACCUGAUAGCAAGAGAUCGCUGUCUCCUCCAGCUACAUGGCAACAUUUUCAAAAUAAUUUGUUAAUUUUUAUGACCCUCUGCAGAAUAUUAGAUAAAAGGGCAACAGCUUGAUAACCCAUUUAGUAGAUCUGCUAAUUGUGUUUUUCAGCAAACUAAAUGGCCAUUUAUGGGGCUUGUAAUUUUACCAGUUUUCUCCAUUGCUUAUGACUUUUUUUUGUGGAAAGUGAAUUGUUCUUUUUAACACAGGCUUCUGGUCAGAACAAAUACAAAUUUUAGCUUAGCUUGUCUAGCCUUCUUAUAUUAGACCUUUUUAGAGAUAGGGAUAUGUAGUCAUAAUUGCAAUGGCAUGUUUCAAAUGGAUUGUUAUAAUUGCAGAUUAUCUACCUGACAUAUAACCUAGUCUCAAAUGCUUCUAUGCUUUAACAAUUUUAUAUAGAAUAUUAUAACAGGUAAUUAUUUGAAUGACAGGAAAAUAAAUAAUAGAGAAUUUAGAGAAUAUGCCUAAUUCAUGGAUUCCCAAGUUCAUAGCCCUCUAAGUCAAUCUGAAUCACUGUAAGUGACCAAAGGGAUUAAAGGUCACAAUGGGCCAUGUACUUCAUUUUUGUGUAUUAGGUUGAGAGUUAAAUGAGUUAUUAAAUGUAAAUGUCCCAUAUCUGGAAAUCAGUUUCAUGUUUUCUUUACAUUAGGUCAAAUUAAUCCAAAUUUGUUUAUGUAUUACACGUUGAUGUAUGUGUGUGCACGCGUGCAUGUUUGUGAUGUGGAGGUAAGAUAACUUGCACAAGUCUGUUCUUUCCUCCUGCCUUGUGGAUCCCAGGAAUUGAACUCGGGUCAGAAGACUUGGCAGCACGGGCCUUUGUGCAUUGAGCUGUUUCACCAGCCCUGAGUUGUUGGUUUUUACAGUUAAUGAACUGUUUAGAAUUUGAUUUGUCGGUGAUUAUUUAAAGAACACAGCUUUGCCAGGUUGUUAUUAUUUAUAUGAUGCCUUCUAAUUUGAUAAUAGAAAUAAGAAAUUACAUAUUUGAUGAUUCCUAGUUGAUUAUUUUAAUAGCUUUGGCACUGACCUGCUGUUGUCAAGUGGGGCAUCAUCAAGCUGCCUUAAAUAAGCAUUAUUGUAGGAAUGGAUCAUUGGCUAAACUUAAAUGAUGUCAGGACAAAUGGCCAUUCUCUCAUCUUACUCUACAUGGCUCCUUUGUUUUCCUAGCUAACAAUUUUGAUUAAAAGAAUUAAAGUCCAAAAAUAUUAAGUAGGAUUCUUAUAGAUUCUUAUAGUUUUCAGUUCUAUCAGCCUUCACAAAUAUCAAAAAAAAAAAAACCAUUGUAAAAACAAUGUUAUUCAGUAAAAACAAAUGGCAUGAUUUUGAGAGUAACAAAAAUUAAAAUCUUACUACAUAGUCUUAGUUCUGCUAUCAUGGUUAUCCUGUUAAGUAUAUGGCUAGGGGAAGCAUGUGCCUAAGAUAUAGACACAUACAAUGAACUCUACUAUUCAAAGAUCGCUCUCAAAAAUAAUUAAGAAAUAUUUAGAGUAUAUCCAAAAUACAUACUGUUGUGGGUUACUGUCCCGUGGCUAAUAAUUUAAACUAUAUUGUUGUUAAAUGUUUAUAAGAAGAAUGUUUUUGAAAGGAUUAGGAGGUCUGGCCUGGUUGGAGGAAGUGUGUCAGUGGGGGUAACUUUCUCAGCUACUUCUGCAGUAGUAUGUCCACCUGUGUGCAACCCGCCAUGAUGACAGUAGAGUGAAUCUCUGAAAAUGUAAGCAAGCGCCAAUUAAAUGAUUUUUAAAAUAAG